rnacentral:misc_RNA from 1 species
AACCAUAGAAACCUGCGGAGUACCUGCGGAAGGAUCAUUACCGAGUUAUACAACUCAUCAACCCUGUGAACAUACCUAUAACGUUGCCUCGGCGGGAACAGACGGCCCCGUAACACGGGCCGCCCCCGCCAGAGGACCCCCUAACUCUGUUUCUAUAAUGUUUCUUCUGAGUAAACAAGCAAAUAAAUUAAAACUUUCAGCAAUGGAUCU